CGACUGGGCGGGGCAAUCGCGCGAUAUGGCGCCGAAAGGUAUUAUCGUGAGGAAAGUCCGGGCCUCAUAGGGCAGGAUAACGGAUAACGUCCGCCGAGGGUGACCUCCGGGAAAGUGCAACAGAGAUAUACCGCCGCAUUUUGCGGUAAGGGUGGAAAGGCGAGGUAAGAGCUCACCCGAAUCUAUGGUAACAUAGGUUCGCUGUAAACCCUAUCCGAAGCAACACCUUGCGCGAGUCUUUGACUUAGGCGGCCCGCUGAAAGCGCAUGGUGGCAGAGCCGCAAGGCUUGAACUGCAGAGCGAUCCGCAGUGAAGAUAGAUGAUUGCUGCGCGAAAGCGUACAGAACCCGGCUUACAAGCCCAGUCAACGC
rnacentral:RNase_P_RNA from 1 species